rnacentral:rRNA from 1 species
GAUGAACGCUGGCGGCGUGCUUAACACAUGCAAGUCGAACGGAGUUUACAUGUGAGCGGAGGGUGCUUGCAUCUAACAAUCUUUUGUAAACUUAGUGGCGGACGGGUGAGUAACGCGUGGGUAACCUGCCGUAUACAGGGGGACAACAGUUGGAAACGACUGCUAAUACCGCAUAAGCGCACAGGACCGCAUGGUCUGGUGUGAAAAACUCCGGUGGUAUACGAUGGACCCGCGUCUGAUUAGCUAGUUGGUGAGGUAACGGCCCACCAAGGCGACGAUCAGUAGCCGGCCUGAGAGGGUGAACGGCCACAUUGGGACUGAGACACGGCCCAAACUCCUACGGGAGGCAGCAGUGGGGAAUAUUGGACAAUGGGGGAAACCCGUAGGAUCCAGCGACGCCGCCGUGAGUGAAGAA